CGGACGGGUGAGUAACACGUGGAUAACCUACCUAUAAGACUGGGAUAACUUCGGGAAACCGGAGCUAAUACCGGAUAAUAUUUUGAACCGCAUUGUUCAAAAGUGAAAGACGGUCUUGCUGUCACUUAUAGGUGGAUCCGCGCUGCAUUAGCUAGUUGGUAAGGUAACGGCUUACCAAGGCAACGAUGCAUAGCCGACCUGAGAGGGUGAUCGGCCACACUGGAACUGAUACACGGUCCAG
rnacentral:rRNA from 1 species